rnacentral:rRNA from 1 species
CACAAGCGGUGGAGCAUGUGGUUUAAUUCGAUGAUACGCGAGGAACCUUACCUGGGCUCAAAUGUAUGUUGACGUAUUUCUGAAAGGGAUACUUCUUCGGACAAUAUACAAGGUGCUGCAUGGUUGUCGUCAGCUCGUGCCGUGAGGUGUCGGGUUAAGUCCCAUAACGAGCGCAACCCCUACCUUUAGUUGCCAUCAGGUUAAGCUGGGGACUCUAAAGGAACUGCCUACGCAAGUAGUGAGGAAGGCGGGGAUGACGUCAAAUCAGCACGGCCCUUACGUCCAGGGCUACACACGUGCUACAAUGGCCGAUACAGAGGGCAGCUACCUGGUGACAGGAUGCAAAUCUCCAAAGUCGGUCUCAGUUCGGAUCGGAGUCUGCAACCCGACUCCGUGAAGUUGGAUUCGCUAGUAAUCGCGCAUCAGCCAUGGCGCGGUGAAUACGUUCCCGGGCCUU